GAAUGCACCGAGAUCCAAAGCUCCGGCGCUCAAGGAUGGAUCUGCGGCCUAUCAGGUAGUAGUGGGUGUAGCGUACCUACUAGCCUACGACGGGUACGGGUUGUGAGAGCAAGAGCCCGGAGAUGGAUUCUGAGACACGAAUCCAGGCCCUACGGGGUGCAGCAGGCGCGAAAACUUUACAAUGCUGGAAACAGCGAUAAGGGGACCUCGAGUGCCAGGUUACAAAUCUGGCUGUCGUGAUGCCUAAAAAGCAUUGCAUAGCAAGGGCCGGGCAAGACCGGUGCCAGCCGCCGCGGUAACACCGGCGGCUCGAGUGGUAACCGUUAUUAUUGGGUCUAAAGGGUCUGUAGCCGGCCGGAUAAGUCUCUUGGGAAAUCUGGCAGCUUAACUGUCAGGCUUUCAGGAGAUACUGUCUGGCUCGAGGCCGGGAGAGGUGAGAGGUACUUCAGGGGUAGGGGUGAAAUCUUGUAAUCCUUGAAGGACCACCAGUGGCGAAGGCGUCUCACCAGAACGGACCUGACGGCAAGGGACGAAAGCUAGGGGCACGAACCGGAUUAGAUACCCGGGUAGUCCUAGCCGUAAACGAUACUCGCUAGGUGUCGGCAACGGUGCGACCGUUGUCGGUGCCGUAGGGAAGCCGUGAAGCGAGCCACCUGGGAAGUACGGCCGCAAGGCUGAAACUUAAAGGAAUUGGCGGGGGAGCAC
rnacentral:rRNA from 1 species